rnacentral:rRNA from 1 species
UCUAGAAGCUUCGGCAAUGGGGGGAAACCCUGACCGAGCGACGCCGCGUGCAGGAUGAAGGUCUUCGGAUCGUAAACUGCUUUCGCUGGGGGAGAAAUGCCUGGAGGUGAAUAAUCUUCAGGUUAGACGGUACCCAGUAAAGAAGCCCCGGCUAAGUCCGUGCCAGCAGCCGCGGUAAUACGGGCGGGGCGAGCGUUGUUCGGAUUCAUUGGGUGUAAAGGGUGCGAAGGCGGUCGUCUAAGUCGAAGGUGAAAUGUCUACGGCUCAACCGAGGCAUUGCCUCCGAUACUGGACGACUUGAGUGCGGAAGGGGAGCGUGGAAUUCCUGGUGUAGCGGUGAAAUGCGUAGAUAUCGAGGAGGAACACCGGUGGCGAAGGCGACGCUCGUGGUCCGCAACUGAC